AUAAUACUGUAGCGGCAUAGCGUAUAAGUACUACUUAAGGCGUGUCAAUUGCAACGUAAACAAAGUUACAGUUUAUAUUUCGGAUGUAAUAAAUUAUAGGUAUUGUUUAUUUAUUUCAUUGUUCAUUAUGUGAACACGCGCACUGUGUAUCCGUCUUAUUAAGGAACAAUAUACUUUCAGUCGUCA